rnacentral:rRNA from 1 species
AUUUCGAUGAAGAACGCAGCGAAAUGCGAUAAGUAAUGUGAAUUGCAGAAUUCAGUGAAUCAUCGAAUCUUUGAACGCACAUUGCGCCCGCCAGUAUUCUGGCGGGCAUGCCUGUUCGAGCGUCAUUU